ncrna:unclassified sequences RAGATH-18 RNA
ACUGUGGAGUGUACCAGAACUUGUGAGUAGUGAGUUACUUGUAACCACAAAAGCAUACAUGGUGAAGCAGUAA